UGACAGUCCUCCCUUGUGCAACUCUUUGUCCUGUCUCUUUGUUUUUCAUUUCAUUCUUCUCACACCCCACUCUGGUUACUGUUCAACAGGUAGGCUGGUCCUGACAGAUUUAUUACCAAUUUUCUAAGAAACUGCCGUAUUGAUCUCCAAAGUGACUGUACACAUUUGCACUCCCACCAGCAAAGGAGGUACGUUUCCCUUGCCACACAUCCUCUCCAGCAUAUGCUGUCAGUGUUUUUGAUCUUAGCCAUUUUGACCUGUGUAAGAUGGAAUCUCAGAGUCAUUUUAAUUUGCAUUUUCCUGGUGGCUAAGAAUAUUGAACAUUUCUUUAACUGUUUCCGUGGGGAAGGCACUCCUUUAUCUGGGCCACACCUUCUGCUGGAAGCCUAUGUAAGGACAAUGGAAGAAGGGAGAGUGUGUUCUUCCUUUGCCUGCUUUGUCAGCACCUUCACUGACAUUGGAGCCUACUUCUCCGAGAUUCCAGCAUUACAAAAGUGGAACUGAGCAACUACUAGACUCUUGAACUUUCCAUUCACAGAUAGCUAUUGUUGGACUACAGCCUCUGCAGUUAUUUUAUCCUAAGCAAUCCUACUUUCUGCACCAUCACUCUAGUCAUAAGACUCAGUGGACCCAGCAAUAAUCAUAGUGAAAGGAAGCAGUACCUUCAAAAUAAUAAGAUUCCAGUUACCAACCAAUGUCCCAAAGCCCCAUGUCACCUGCUAUUGUUGUUCUGAUGCCUUCUUCUCACUUCUCACCUAAGAGACAAUGAAGACAUCCAACUCCACGGCCCAGCAUGGACUGAGACAACUUAGAGUGCCCUCUUUGAAGAGAAGUAGCCUUGACCUACUUGGAGUUGCUUUUGCUAGGAAUCCACACCCAUCACCACCAGUAUCUUAACCAGUUGCAUCUUCCAGGAACAAAAAGCCGCCCAUCACAGGAAGCCUGCUUUUGUUUCACUUAUCGACUGUGUCCCUCUCACUCUCCUUCAGUUCCAACUUUCUUGACUGCCUGCACUGGAUGUAUCAGUCUGGGCUUGAAGCCUGUGUUUACAUGGAUCCAUCUAAACCAACUGUCCUAUCCCUAGAACUAAAAUUGCCUGAAACCUAACAGUAAAGGGCUUUACACUUCAUGAAAUGUUUUCAAAAACACUUAUCUAAUCCUUCUGGGGAAGGAUGGGGCUUGAUCUAUGCCUGUUGUGAUGAUUCAAUUAUCAACAACACAGUCUAGAACCACUGAGCAAAGGAUCCUCAGUGAUGCAGUGUCCAGAUCUCAUUGAGCUUCGGGCAUUUCUGUGGAGUUACCUUGAUUGCAUUAAAUGGGGUAAGAAGACCCAUCACUGCAGGUGGCGCCAGCCCUUAGGCAGAAGAUUCUGAACUGUGUGAAAAUGGAGAGUUCAAGCUGCUCACUACCAUAUGUGUGUUAAUCCUUUGCUCUCUACUCUAUGGACAUAAAGUGACCAGUUCUCUGGAGUCCCUGCCUGUGCGACUUCUCAGCCAUGGUGUACUAUAACCUGCAACUAUGGACCAAAUAAAAUUUUUCUCCUUUAAGUUUCUUUUGUCAGAAUAUUUUACCACAGUAACAGGAAAAAAAAAAAAAAACUAGGACACCAGCUAAAGCCACUCGUGUAUUUUGAGUGGGGACAAGGGGACAGAGUACGGACAGAUUAAUCCUCUCUUUCCUCUGUGGUGAGAAGCCAGAGAAGCCAUCUCCAGAUAAUAUUCGGCAGACAGAAAGGAGCCAGAGCUACUCAGAGGAUCAACAAGAGAGUCUUCAAGCUGAAGAUAGGUGAUAAAUUAUAGAAGAAGCUGAUUGAAUUGUGCCAGAGAGCUUUGCUUUUUGGUUUUGUUCUUUUUCCAAAAAGUAUCUUCAGUGAUUUUGUAGGUGAUGAAGCUAGACCUGGAAACUUGAUCCCCACUGGCUCCUACACGUAGGCUUUGACUUACAAGCCCCACUUUGACUGUAGGCUGGUGAACCAGGGUCAUGCUGCCUUAGAGACAAAACAACCAAGUCUUUUGAGAACCACAAACCACCUUCCAGCCAAGGAAAUAAGGCUUUGCGGUUACUGUAUCUCUUAGUCGAAACAGGAGGGGAAAGGAAGCAGCUAGAGAAGAAAUCCAGAAGAUUUUGCCUCUUUCAUUUCCAUCCAUGACCUCUUUAAGUGCUUAAGAUACUCGAUGAGGGAGUGUGGCAAGAAUCAGAAGCCUUCCGAGAGAAGCAGGGGGCGGGAGAGUGAAUUCAAAACAGUUGCAUAGGCCUAGUGAAACAGACCCACCCAAAGGAAAUAGGAUAAUAUCUAAAUAAAUUAGCUUAAUCAGGAUUAAUUCUGUUUAUUAACAAGCAGAAGUGUUGUAAAAGCCAAGGAAGCAGUGGUCUGUAUCCAAUUAGGGCAGGUGACCUUCUGGGAAAAGUGAGCCAAGGUGAAGUUGGUCCUCAAAGUAAGGGGGAGCAGAACUAACACAGCUUCAGCAAUUUCUUCUCCUGCUUAAAAAAAA
rnacentral:lncRNA from 1 species